rnacentral:rRNA from 1 species
UACACUCCUACGGGAGGCAGCAGUGGGGAAUAUUGCACAAUGGGCGCAAGCCUGAUGCAGCCAUGCCGCGUGUAUGAAGAAGGCCUUCGGGUUGUAAAGUACUUUCAGCGGGGAGGAAGGCAAUACGGUUAAUAACCGUGUUGAUUGACGUUACCCGCAGAAGAAGCACCGGCUAACUCCGUGCCAGCAGCCGCGGUAAUACGGAGGGUGCAAGCGUUAAUCGGAAUUACUGGGCGUAAAGCGCACGCAGGCGGUCUGUCAAGUCGGAUGUGAAAUCCCCGGGCUCAACCUGGGAACUGCAUUCGAAACUGGCAGGCUUGAGUCUUGUAGAGGGGGGUAGAAUUCCAGGUGUAGCGGUGAAAUGCGUAGAGAUCUGGAGGAAUACCGGUGGCGAAGGCGGCCCCCUGGACAAAGACUGACGCUCAGGUGCGAAAGCGUGGGGAGCAAACAGGAUUAGAAACCCUUGUAGUCCCA